ensembl:lincRNA
GCAAUAUUGGUGGUGUCACUCACUAGGAUUUGCAGCAAUUCAGCUGUCAUAGCCCUCAGAUCAGAGAGUCAUAAAAGAUCAAGGGAUGAGUGUCAGGAGUCUGUGAUGAGAGUAGAGAAAGGGGCAUAAUACUGCUUUAAAGACCUUCCUAAGCUGUGUGUAGUUAGGCUAAACUAUUUUGGUUAGAAGAAUGAUGGUACAAGAUGAAGUAAGACUGGAAAGUAUUUUAAGGUUAAAAUAUUGUUCCUGAUCCUAAACCAAUAAAUAACUACUAUCUUGUGAUUCUGUGGCAGGAACCACUCCUCCUGAUUAUGACCAAAGAUUCUACAGAACAUCAACGAGUGAGAUUUCCUGUAGACGUGACAUGCAAGAAAGCCCGUGAAGGUCGUGGUGCAUCACCUAACACAGCAGUUCACAAGCAGAGACCAGAAUCCUAAUGUAUUCAAGGUGAGCAGAAGAAUCCUAGUGUAUUCAAGGUGAGCAAAAGCUUGUCUAAAAGAACAAGAUAAUUAU